AUUGAACGCUGGCGGCAGGCUAAACACAUGCAAGUCGAGCGGGGUGAUGGUGCUUGCACUAUCACUUAGCGGCGGACGGGUGAGUAAUGCUUAGGAAUCUGCCUAUUAGUAGGGGACAACAUCUCGAAAGGGAUGCUAAUACCGCAUACGUCCUACGGGAGAAAGCAGGGGAUCACUUGUGACCUUGCGCUAAUAGAUGAGCCUAAGUCGGAUUAGCUAGUUGGUGGGGUAAAGGCCUACCAAGGCGACGAUCUGUAGCGGGUCUGGGAGGAUGACCCGCCAAGCUGGGACGGAGACGCGGCCCAGCCUCCUACGGGAGGCAGCCGUGAGGAAUAUUGAACAAUGGGGGGAACCCUGAUCCAGCCAUGCCGGGUGUGUGAAGAAGGCCUUAUGGUUGUAAAGCACUUUAAGCGAGGAGGAGGCUCUUUUGGUUAAUACACAAGAUGAGUGGACGUUACUCGCAGAAUAAGCACCGGCUAACUCUGUGCCAGCAGCCGCCGUAA
rnacentral:rRNA from 1 species